AACGAACGCUGGCGGCAGGCUUAACACAUGCAAGUCGAACGGGCCCUUCGGGGUCAGUGGCAGACGGGUGAGUAACGCGUGGGAACGUGCCCUUCAGUUUGGGAUAACCCAGGGAAACUUGGGCUAAUACCGGAUACGUGCGAGAGCAGAAAGAUUUAUCGCUGAAGGAUCGGCCCGCGUCUGAUUAGCUGGUUGGUAGGGUAAUGGCCUACCAAGGCGACGAUCUGUAGCUGGUCUGAGAGGAUGAUCAGCCACAUUGGGACUGAGACACGGCCCAAACUCCUACGGGAGGCAGCAGUGGGGAAUAUUGGACAAUGGGCGCAAGCCUGAUCCAGCCAUGCCGCGUGAGUGAUGACGGCCUUCGGGUUGUAAACCUCUUUUAGUAGGGAAGAAGCGAAAGUGACGGUACCUGCAGAAAAAGCACCGGCUAACUACGUGCCAGCCGCCGCCGUAA
rnacentral:rRNA from 1 species